CCUACGGGAGGCAGCAGUCAGGAAUAUUGCGCAAUGGAGGAAACUCUGACGCAGCGACGCCGCGUGGGGGAUGACGGCCUUCGGGUUGUAACUCCUUUCGCCAGGGACGAAGCGUCAGUGACGGUACCCGCAGAAGAAGUCCCGGCUAACUUCGUGCCAGCAGCCGCGGU
rnacentral:rRNA from 1 species